UGGGGAAUAUUGGACAAUGGGCGCAAGCCUGAUCCAGCCAUGCCGCGUGAGUGAUGAAGGCCCUAGGGUUGUAAAGCUCUUUCACCGGUGAAGAUAAUGACGGUAACCGGAGAAGAAGCCCCGGCUAACUUCGUGCCAGCAGCCGCGGUAAUACGAAGGGGGCUAGCGUUGUUCGGAUUUACUGGGCGUAAAGCGCACGUAGGCGGACUUUUAAGUCAGGGGUGAAAUCCCGGGGCUCAACCCCGGAACUGCCUUUGAUACUGGAAGUCUUGAGUAUGGUAGAGGUGAGUGGAAGUCCGAGUGUAGAGGUGAAAUUCGUAGAUAUUCGGAGGAACACCAGUGGCGAAGGCGGCUCACUGGACCAUUACUGACGCUGAGGUGCGAAAGAGUGGGGAGCAAACAGG
rnacentral:rRNA from 1 species